rnacentral:rRNA from 1 species
UACGGAGGGUGCAAACGUUGCUCGGAAUCAUUGGGCGUAAAGGGCGCGUAGGCUGCGGGGUAAGUCGGGUGUGAAAUCUCAGAGCUCAACUCUGAAACUGCACUCGAUACUGCUCUGCUUGAGGACUGGAGAGGAGAUUGGAAUUCACGGUGUAGCAGUGAAAUGCGUAGAUAUCGUGAGGAAGACCAGUGGCGAAGGCGGAUCUCUGGACAGUUCCUGACGCUGAGGCGCGAAGGCCAGGGGAGCAAACGGG